rnacentral:rRNA from 1 species
GACAGAGGGUGCAACCGUUGUUCGGAUUUACUGGGCGUAAAGCGUGUGUAGGCGGCUUCGCAAGUUGGAUGUGAAAUCCCACGGCUCAACCGUGGACGUGCAUCCAAAACUGCGUCGCUAGAGUCUCGGAGAGGAAGGUGGAAUGCUUGGUGUAGAGGUGAAAUUCGUAGAUAUCAAGCAGAACACCUGCGGCGAAGGCGGCCUUCUGGACGAUGACUGACGCUGAGACACGAAAGCGUGGGGAGCAAACAGG